CAAUAGCGUAUAUUAAAGCUGUUGCGGUUAAAAAGCUCGUAGUUGGAUUUCUGUCAAGGACAACUGGUCCGCCCUCCGGGUGAGCACAAAGUUUGGUCUUGGCAUCUUGCUGGAAACUGUUGCUGCGCUUGGUUGUGUGGUGCAGCUUUCAGCACUUUCACUUUGAGGAAAUUGGAGUGUUUCAAGCAGGCACAUGCCUUUGGACACAGUAGCAUGGAAUAAUUAGAUUGGGCUUUUGCUCCAACUUGUUGGUUCCUGGAGCUGAGGUGAGAAUCAAUGGGGAUUGUUGGGGGCAUCCGAAUUUAGCCGUCAGAGGUGAAAUUCUUGGAUCUGCUAAAGACGGACAACUGCGAAAGCGUUUGCCCAGGAUGUUUUCAUUGA
rnacentral:rRNA from 1 species